GAUGAGGACACGGAGGUCACCCUCCUAGAGGAACCAGAGCCUGACCACCAACCUAUCAGAAAGGUUAGUGAUGAGGACACGGAGGUCACCUUCCUAGAGGAACCAGAGCCUGACCACCAACCUAUCAGAAAGGUUAGUGAUGAGGACACGGAGGUCACCCUCCUAGAGGAACCAGAGCCUGACCACCAACCUGUCAGGAAGGUUAAGAUGACUCUAAGACAGAAUAGAAUACUGGCUAUCCACUGAGAAAUCAAGAAACUUUCCAUAAUACUACCCAAAGAUACUGUCUGUUGAUUGGAGAUACUAUCUGUUGAUUGGAGAUACUGGCUGUUGAUUGGAGAUACUGGCUGUUGAUUUGGAGAUACUGGCUGUUGAUUUGGAGAUACUGGCUGUUGAUUGAAGAUACUGGCUGUUGAUUGGAGAUACUGGCUGUUGAUUGGAGAUACUGGCUGUUGAUUGGAGAUACUGGCUGUUGAUUGGAGAUACUGGCUGUUGAUUGAAGAUACUGGCUGUUGAUUGGAGAUACUGGCUGUUGAUUUGGAGAUACUGGCUGUUGAUUUGGAGAUACUGGCUGUUGAUUGGAGAUACUGGCUGUUGAUUGGAGAUACUGGCUGUUGAUUGGAGAUACUGGCUGUUGAUUGGAGAUACUGGCUGUUGAUUGGAGAUACUGGCUGUUGAUUGGAGAUACUGGCUGUUGAUUGGAGAUACUGGCUGUUGAUUGGAUAUACUGGCUGUUGAUUGGAGAUACUGGCUGUUGAUUGGAGAUACUGGCUGUUGAUUGGAGAUACUGGCUGUUGAUUGGAGAUACUGGCUGUUGAUUAAGACAUCAAAGUAAUGCUCAAGAGCCUAAAUGGUUUUAAUGAUAAAGGUAC